rnacentral:lncRNA from 13 species
AAUUGCUGAGCUGUGAGCUCUGUUGUUCAUUCAGGGCUGUUAGGCUGCUAUGUUUGAUUCUGCUGCAACAGAGCUCAUUAAAAAAAAAACCUUUUUUUCUCAAAUGCUCUGUGUUGGGGGGUUCGGGCUUUAUUUUUCGAUGUCCGAUGAGGUGUCCUGCCCAGCUAGAAGGCAGACUAGCCACUGUUUGGCUGCCGAGUCUCCACCCUGCUGUUGUGUGAUUCGCCCUGUUCCUGCAGGCUCUGCUGUGGUCUCCACCAUGCCCUGUGGUGGAGUCUCUUUGUUGUAGCAUGUUGCCUCGGCAACGGCAGGCUGCAGUGGGCGUGUAUCUCAGUAGGGACGGGUUGCCUUGGCAACGGCUGGCUGCGUCAGCAGUGGGCGUGUAUCUCAGUUGGGGCUGGUUGCCUCGGUAGUGGUCACGCCCCUCCCCCACAGAGCGUCUCAGACCGUCUGCUCUGGAUAGUUUGAAAUCACGGUUUUGUUCGUCCCACUGGGUGUCCCAAACGAUCUGUCCCUGCAAUCCCCUGGGCUGGCCUACUGUCCAAGUCUCGUUCAGUCUCAAGUCCAGCCCUCUCAAGUCUCAGGUUGCUGGUUCAACAGGGCACCCAAACAAGUGCGCCCUGUGGGGAUUGCUGGGUAGGGCCGGCCGCCGCCGCCCUGGCUGCUGGCUUCACCAGGCAGACCUACUGCCUGUCGUCCCGUGUCUUUUUUAUACUUAGGAGUUUCCCCGUUCUGUGGGCAACAAAGAUCAGUCUGGAAAUGCAACUCCGACUCACCAUUUGCAGAUUCAACGAGAGCUCCAAUCCUGGGUUGUUCUCACAGUGCCAUCUUGAGUCCUCCGGCACUGUAUUGAAUUCGAAGGAACUUAUAGCUAUAAACUUCCCUGCUUGUCCUUUUACGUCUUGUCAUUGCCAUAUGAAAAACAAGUCCCAGAAGAAGGAUGAGAGAAAUGUGGAGCAAGAUCUAGACCUGCUGAACUGCACUGUGAAAAAGAUGAUCCCAACCACCACAGCCUUAAGAAGAGACAUCUCUGCUGAUCCACAGGUUCAUGAGUAUGGGCAGCAUUAUUGGCAAUGGUGGCAAUAGCCAAAUGAUAUACCAAAGAGAUUAUAGUGUGAAAGAUACACAAGAUCACUUCCUUAAUGAAGCUUGAAAUUCAGUAG